rnacentral:rRNA from 1 species
GAUGAACGCUGGCGGCGUGCCUAAUACAUGCAAGUCGAGCGAACGGACGAGAAGCUUGCUUCUCUGAUGUUAGCGGCGGACGGGUGAGUAACACGUGGAUAACCUACCUAUAAGACUGGGAUAACUUCAGGAAACCGGAGCUAAUACCGGAUAAUAUUUUGAACCGCAUGGUUCAAAAGUAAAAGACGGUCUUGCUGUCACUUAUAGAUGGAUCCGCGCUGCAUUAGCUAGUUGGUAAGGUAACGGCUUACCAAGGCAACGAUGCAUAGCCGACCUGAGAGGGUGACCGGCCACACUGGAACUGAGACACGGUCCAGACUCCUACGGGAGGCAGCAGUAGGGAAUCUUCCGCAAUGGGCGAAAGCCUGACGGAGCAACGCCGCGUGAGUGAUGAAGGUCUUCGGAUCGUAAAACUCUGUUAUUAGGGAAGAACAUAUGUGUAAGUAACUGUGCACAUCUUGACGGUACCUAAUCAGAAAGCCACGGCUAACUACGUG